GAUUACCCGCUGAACUUAAGCAUAUCACUAAGCGGAGGAAAAGAAACUAACCAGGAUUCCCCUAGUAACGGCGAGUGAAGAGGGAAUAGCCCAGCACCGAAGCCUGCGGUAGGUUUACUGCUAGGCAAUGUGGUGUUUGGGUCGACUCGCGGGAUUGCCACUCCACUCGAAGUCCAGCACUGAGUAUGGUUCCCUGGAUUUGGCCCAGAGAGGGUGAAAGGCCCGUGCGAGUGGAGGUUCAGACAUGUGAGGCAAUUCACCAGGUCGACCUUCGAGUCGGGGUGUUUGGAAUGCAGC
rnacentral:rRNA from 1 species